UAGCUUAUCAGACUGGUGUUGGCUGUUUUAUGAGCACGGCAGCAGCAGUCUGUAAGCUGGC
rnacentral:pre_miRNA from 1 species